CAAGCGUUAUCCGGAAUUAUUGGGCGUAAAGAGCUCGUAGGCGGUUUGUCGCGUCUGCUGUGAAAUCCGGAGGCUCAACCUCCGGCCUGCAGUGGGUACGGGCAGACUAGAGUGCGGUAGGGGAGAUUGGAAUUCCUGGUGUAGCGGUGGAAUGCGCGGAUAUCAGGAGGAACACCGAUGGCGAAGGCAGAUCUCUGGGCCGUAACUGACGCUGAGGAGCGAAAGGGUGGGGAGCAAACAGGCUUAGAUACCCUGGUAGUCCACCCCGUAAACGUUGGGAACUAGUUGUGGGGUCCAUUCCACGGAUUCCGUGACGCACCUAACGCAUUAAGUUCCCCGCCUGGGGAGUACGGCCGCAAGGCUAAAACUCAAAGGAAUUGACGGGGACCCGCACAAGCGGCGGAGCAUGCGGAUUAAUUCGAUGCAACGCGAAGAACCUUACCAAGGCUUGACAUAUACGAGAACGGGCCAGAAAUGGUCAACUCUUUGGACACUCGUAAACAGGUGGUGCAUGGUUGUCGUCAGCUCGUGUCGUGAGAUGUUGGGUUAAGUCCCGCAACGAGCGCAACCCUCGUUCUAUGUUGCCAGCACGUAAUGGUGGGAACUCAUGGGAUACUGCCGGGGUCAACUCGGAGGAAGGUGGGGAUGACGUCAAAUCAUCAUGCCCCUUAUGUCUUGGGCUUCACGCAUGCUACAAUGGCCGGUACAAAGCGCUGCAAUACCGCGAGGUGGAGCGAAUCCCAAAAAGCCGGUCCCAGUUCGGAUUGAGGUCUGCAACUCGACCUCAUGAAGUCGGAGUCGCUAGUAAUCGCAGAUCAGCAACGCUGCGGUGAAUACGUUCCCGGGUCUUGUACACACCGCCCGUCAAGUCAUGAAAGUCGGUAACACCUGAAGCCGGUGGCCUAA
rnacentral:rRNA from 1 species